AGAGUUUGAUCCUGGCUCAGGAUGAACGCUAGCGGCAGGCCUAACACAUGCAAGUCGAGGGGCAGCACGAUAAAGCUUGCUUUAUUGGUGGCGACCGGCGCACGGGUGCGUAACGCGUAUGCAACCUACCUUGUACUGGGGGAUAGCCCGGAGAAAUUCGGAUUAACCCCCCAUAGCAUUAUCGAAUCGCAUGGUUUGAUGAUUAAAGGUUACGGUACAAGAUGGGCAUGCGUCCCAUUAGCUAGAUGGUGAGGUAACGGCUCACCAUGGCGACGAUGGGUAGGGGGCCUGAGAGGGUGGUCCCCCACACUGGUACUGAGACACGGACCAGACUCCUACGGGAGGCAGCAGUGAGGAAUAUUGGUCAAUGGGCGCAAGCCUGAACCAGCCAUGCCGCGUGCAGGAAGACGGUCCUAUGGAUUGUAAACUGCUUUUAUUUGGGAAUAAACCUCUUUACGUGUAGAGAGCUGAAGGUACCAAAUGAAUAAGCACCGGCUAACUCCGUGCCAGCAGCCGCGGUAAUACGGAGGGUGCAAGCGUUAUCCGGAAUCAUUGGGUUUAAAGGGUCCGCAGGCGGGAAGAUAAGUCAGUGGUGAAAUCUCACAGCUCAACUGUGAAACUGCCAUUGAUACUGUCUUUCUUGAAUUCGAUCGAAGUGGGCGGAAUGUGACAUGUAGCGGUGAAAUGCUUAGAUAUGUCACAGAACACCGAUAGCGAAGGCAGCUCACUAGGUCUGGAUUGACGCUCAGGGACGAAAGCCUGGGGAGCAAACAGGAUUAGAUACCCUGGUAGUCCACGCCGUAAACUAUCAAUACUCGUUCUCGGGGACUUCGGUCCUCGGGGACUAAGCGAAAGUGAUAAGUAUUGCACCUGGGGAGUACGAUCGCAAGGUUGAAACUCAAAGGAAUUGACGGGGGCCCGCACAAGCGGUGGAGCAUGUGGUUUA
rnacentral:rRNA from 1 species